GGGCCCGUAGCUCAGCCCGGUUAGAGCACCGGACUCUUAAAUCUCAAAAUCUAAUGAUUUUGAUGACUCUCAGAAUUCAAAGAAUUCUGAAGUUAAGAAGAAAUCCGGGUGUCGGGGGUUCAAAUCCCCUCGGGCCCA
rnacentral:tRNA from 1 species